AACGUCAUCCUCUUUAGAGGGUAACUUGCAGAAUAUAAGGUAGAUGUUGGUUACAGACAGUAAUUGGUAUUGGUAAAUUGGUUGCUUUUUUUUCUGUCAGGGUUCCCAAGGCUGUACAUAAUUUGUACAGUAUUUUAUAAAGAAAAAAAAAUGAUGCUUAGAUUUUUCUAAACAUUGAUUACUUUUUUUUUUUUAAUCUAGAGCUUUUCUGGAAAAAGAAGAAAAGUUCAACCACCUCAACAGAACUAUUCACUGGCUGAACUUGAUGAGAAAAUUAGUGCCCUCAAACAAGCCCUCCUCAGAAAAUCAAGAGA
rnacentral:sRNA from 1 species